rnacentral:misc_RNA from 1 species
AAUUUUUUUCCUUGUUAAAUAUAUGGAAUACUGUUCUAUCAAGCUGGAAAUUCCAAAUCUCAUUCCAACCAUUUCAUAAAAAGAUGAACAUAAAAAAAAAAAUAAAAAUUUCGUACAAAUCAAAUUCUGAAACUGCAUUUCUGCAGGCACUUCGGAUAAUAUUGUAGACAACUCUCUGUCAAAUGUCAGACAUUUUUCAUGGUGUCAUAGACCUCCAAUACAUUAAUGGGGUAAAAAACAGAAAACAUUGGUGUUUCAUUUUUUUUUCCCAUGUGAUGAACUGGUAUAAAUGCUUCUGAAGCUUCUAAAAUUCAGUAGGCCAGGUGGAAAAAACUGUGCUGCAAAAGUAAUGAUGAACCCUUGUAAUGAGAAGAUGAAAAUUUUGAGAUAAUCUUAGUAGCUCUUUUUCUUUUUGAUCAUAACUCCCGCACCAACAGCAUAAAUCUAAGGCGAACACAUCAAAAUGUGCUCCAGUGAUGGACAAAACGAUGUUAAAAUGAUUCUCUGUUUUACUGGCACCACAGCAAACUAAUAACUGACCAAGAAAACGUGAAGAAAAUGACUGGAACUAUUUCUGAAGACUAUUACCAUCUGCAUACACUCCAGAAGUGGUAGUAUUUGGAAUGCUCUGCAAAAACAUUGCCCUUGCUGCAGGAUCUGUUGAAAAUCGACCGAGUACAGCAACUGUAGCUGUAUUACUUCCAAACUUCUCAAUACCUCUAGAAAUCAUACAAGUAUGGUUAGCCUCCAGAACUACAAUCACAUCUCCACCUAAAAACGAUGAAACAGUCUCUGCAAUCUGCCUGGUAAGCCUUUCCUGCACUUGCAGCUUGAAACCAUAAAAAUGCACUAUUGACUGUAGAAGAGAUUUUCCAAUGGGGUUGAAUCCCUCAGCACGGAAGUAACCAAUAUGCACAACACCAUAAAAGGGUAGCAAAUGAUGCUCGCACUGAGACCAGAAUGACAAGUUCAACUCAGAAUGUAUAUGUUCUUUGUUAUGGCUGAUGUCCCCACUGGCUUUAAGGGUAUCUGUCUUGCCAC